rnacentral:rRNA from 1 species
CGUGUAGGCGGUUGCCCAAGUCUGAUGUGAAAGCCCGAGGCUCAGCCUCGGAAGUGCAUCGGAAACUAGGCAGCUGGAGCGCGAUAGAGGAGGGUAGAAUUCCUGGUGUAGCGGUGAAAUGCGUAGAUAUCAGGAGGAAUACCGGCGGCGAAGGCGGCCCUCUGGAUCGUUGCUGACGCUGAGACGCGAAAGCGUGGGGAGCAAACA